rnacentral:lncRNA from 1 species
UGUUAUCAUUUCAGUAGUAGACCAGUUAGACCAUAGUGUUAUCAUUUCAGUAGUAGACCAUAGUGUGUUAUCAUUUCAGUAGUAGACCAGUUAGACCAUAGUGUGUUAUCAUUUCAGUAGUAGACCAGUUAGACCAUAGUGUGUUAUCAUUUCAGUAGUAGACCAGUUAGACCAUAGUGUGUUAUCAUUUCAGUAGUAGACCAGUUAGACCAUAGUGUUAUCAUUUCAGUAUUAGACCAUAGUGUGUUAUCAUUUCAGUAGUCUACCAGUUAGACCAUAGUGUGUUAUCAUUUCAGUAGUAGACCAGUUAGACCAUAGUGUUAUCAUUUCAGUAGUAGACCAUAGUGUUAUCAUUUCAGUAGUAGACCAGUUAGACCAUAGUGUAAUCAUUUCAGUAGUAGACCAGUUAGACCAUAGUGUGUUAUCAUUUCAGUAGUAGACCAGUUAGACCAUAGUGUAAUCAUUUCAGUAGUAGACCAGUUAGACCAUAGUGUUAUCAUUUCAGUAGUAGACCAGUUAGACCAUAGUGUGUUAUCAUUUCAGUAGUAGACCAGUUAGAACAUAGUGUGUUAUCAUUUCAGUAGUAGACCAGUUAGACCAUAGUGUGUUAUCAUUUCAGUAGUAGACCAGUUAGAUCAUAGUGUAAUCAUUUCAGUAGUAGACCAUAGUAUGUUAUCAUUUCAGUAGUAGACCAUAGUAUGUUAUCAUUUCAGUAGUAGACCAGUUAGACCAUAGUGUAAUCAUUUCAGUAGUAGACCAGUUAGACCAUAGUGUUAUCAUUUCAGUAGUAGACCAGUUAGACCAUAGUGUUAUCAUUUCAGUAGUAGACCAGUUAG